rnacentral:tRNA from 1 species
GCCGGGGUCGCCUAGCCUGGUAGGGCGCCGGCCUGCUAAGCCGGUGGGGUCAAUCCCCGCGCGGGUUCAAAUCCCGCCCCCGGCGCCA